rnacentral:rRNA from 1 species
GAUGAACGCUGGCGGCGUGCCUAAUACAUGCAAGUCGAACGCAUCCCGUUAAAUGAAGUGCUUGCACGGAUUUUAACAUUGGAUGAGUGGCGAACUGGUGAGUAACACGUGGGUAACCUGCCCGGAAGCAGGGGAUAACACUUGGAAACAGGUGCUAAUACCGUAUAACAACAAAAACCGCAUGGUUUUUGUUUGAAAGGUGGUUUCGGCUGUCACUUCUGGAUGGACCCGCGGCGUAUUAGCUAGUUGGUGGAGUAAUGGUUCACCAAGGCAAAGAUACGUAGCCGACCUGAGAGGGUAAUCAGCCACAUUGGGACUGUGACACGGCCCAAACUCCUACGGGAGGCAGCAGUAGGGAAGCUUCCACAAUGGACGAAAGUCUGAUGGAGCAACGCCGCGUGAGUGAAGAAGGUUUUCGGAUCGUAAAACUCUGUUGUUGAAGAAGAACACGUUUGAGAGUAACUGUUCAGACGUUGACGGUAUUCAACCAGAAAGCCACGGCUAACUACGUGCCAGCAGCCGAAGUAA